rnacentral:rRNA from 1 species
GACGAACGCUGGCGGCGUGCUUAACACAUGCAAGUCGAACGGAAAGGCCCUGCUUUUGUGGGGUGCUCGAGUGGCGAACGGGUGAGUAACACGUGAGUAACCUGCCCUUGACUUUGGGAUAACUUCAGGAAACUGGGGCUAAUACCGGAUAGGAGCUCCUGCUGCAUGGUGGGGGUUGGAAAGUUUCGGCGGUUGGGGAUGGACUCGCGGCUUAUCAGCUUGUUGGUGGGGUAGUGGCUUACCAAGGCUUUGACGGGUAGCCGGCCUGAGAGGGUGACCGGCCAAAUUGGGAUGGAGAUCGGCCCGAGCCCCAGCGGGGGGCAAGAGGGGGGAAAUAUGGCCCAAGGGGGGGAGCCUGGAUGAAGAACCCCCGGGGGGGGAAGGAGGGCCUUGGGUUUGAAACCCGUUUUCGCCUGUGAGAAAGGGGGGGGGCGGUAAGGGGGAAAAGAACCCCCGGCUACCAACGUG